GACAGAGGGUGCAAACGUUGUUCGGAAUUACUGGGCGUAAAGGGCUCGUAGGCGGCCAACUAAGUCGGAUGUGAAAUCCCCAGGCUCAACCUGGGAACUGCAUCCGAUACUGGAUGGCUUGAAUUCGGGAGAGGGAUGCAGAAUUCCAGGUGUAGCGGUGAAAUGCGUAGAUAUCUGGAGGAAUACCGGUGGCGAAGGCGGCAUCCUGGACCGACAUUGACGCUGAGGAGCGAAAGCCAGGGGAGCAAACGGG
rnacentral:rRNA from 1 species